rnacentral:rRNA from 1 species
AUCGGUAGCCGGACUGAGAGGUUGGACGGCCACAUUGGGACUGAGACACGGCCCAGACUCCUACGGGAGGCAGCAGUAAGGGAUAUUGGUCAAUGGGGGAAACCCUGAACCAGCAACGCCGCGUGAGGGAAGACGGUUUUCGGAUUGUAAACCUCUGUCCUCUGUGAAGAUGAUGACGGUAGCAGAGGAGGAAGCUCCGGCUAACUACGUGCCAGCAGCCGCGGUAAUACGUAGGGAGCGAGCGUUGUCCGGAUUUACUGGGUGUAAAGGGUGCGUAGGCGGCUGUGCAAGUCAGUAGUGAAAUCCAUGGGCUUAACCCAUGAACUGCUAUUGAAACUGCACAGCUUGAGUGAAGUAGAGGUAGGCGGAAUUCCCGGUGUAGCGGUGAAAUGCGUAGAGAUCGGGAGGAACACCAGUGGCGAAGGCGGCCUACUGGGCUUUAACUGACGCUGAGGCACGAAAGCGUGGGUAGCAAACAGGAUUAGAUACCCUGGUAGUCCACGCUGUAAACGAUGAUUACUAGGUGUGGGGGGACUGAACCCUUCC